AAGGAAACUGGAAAAGCAGACUAAAAUUAGCUUGAUUUUCGCCAUCACAUAAACAAAGUUUAUGUGCCACGAUUUAACCUUCCUCGUGGGAAUACCACGCCACCCCAUAACUUAAGGAGGAAAGCGCCCGGCCUCAGGCGUUUAACAUACAUAAUUGCAUACAUAUAGAAAGGAUAAAAAAGUCAGACAAUGCUUUCUAGGCAAAUGCGUAUCCAUCAGAGAUUGUCGGAGCCCAGUGCAUUUCAUCAUUCAAGAUCAAAAGAAUAAAAAAAAAACAAAAAAUAAUUAAUAGAAUCAUACAAACGAAUCUCUAGAAAAAUACAUAUCAAUAUUUAAAUCGAAACCCUAUGUAUGUGUUUCAACAUCAAACAAAAAAUUCAGUGAAUAAAUAAUUAAACACAAAAAAUAUUUUAAAAGAAAUAAAAUAACCUAAAGUUAUUUGCUUUAUAAAAAUCCUCAGCGUUUGCUUAUAUUUAACAUCAAUCAAUGUUAGAAAACAUAGAUCAGGUCUCAAAGAUUUCAUGCCAUCAUAGGAUUUACAAGUCACAACAAAUAUUUUUUAGAUAUUAAAAAAAAUAAGAACAAAAAAAAAAUCUAUUUUUAUUGGAUAAUCAAAGAUUGAACGAUAAAUUAUCCUCAGAAUUUUAGCUUAUAAUUCUCAUCAUGUGCUUAAAAACACAAAUCAGGUCUCAAAGAUUUCAUGCCAUCAUAGGAUUAUAAAAAUUGCAAAAUAUAACUAAUGCAUUGAUGAUAAACAAUAGAGAAAACGAUUUAAUAGAGAAAAAAUAUUGGAAGAAUAAAUUCGCUGCAACUUACGACGAAAUAAUAAGGUGAAGCGACUCAAUAUCUCCAUUACAGAAAUUUAGCCCAUCAUCAACCAAUUAAAGUGAUAGACGAAAACCCUAAAUCAACGUCUUGAAGACAGGAAAAGGGAAAUCGACCUAAGAAAAGGGCAAACAUAAGAAAGGAUAAAAGAAACGACCAAAAUCAAACAAAACAAGAAGAAGAAAAAAAGGACCAGAUUAAGGGACAAAACGGAAAAAUAGGCAACCUCGUCGACAAGCCGACUUAAGAAUUAGACGAUCGCCCCGGUUUUUAUAGAGUGCUAUCUCAAACAUUAGGGUUUCAUAGAUAUAAUAC
rnacentral:lncRNA from 1 species